UUGUGUGUGUGUGUGUUGGACAGAGAGGGGAAGAGAAGGUGGAAGGUGACAAAAAUAAAGAGAGAUUUUGGUAAAGUUUUUACGUUUUUAAACAAGAUAUUAGUCUCGUCUUUUUUCGUCUAUGAUAUUGCAUGUUUUACAUCGUCAGCGUUAGUGUUUAAUGACAUCGGUGCCGAUUC